rnacentral:rRNA from 1 species
CCUACGGGCGGCAGCAGUAGGGAAUAUUGCGCAAUGGGGGAAACCCUGAAGCAGCAACGCCGCGUGGAGGAUGAAGGUUUUCGGAUUGUAAACUCCUGUUGUUAGAGAAGAGAAUGACGGUAUCUAACGAAUAAGCACCGGCUAACUCCGUGCCAGCAGCCGCGGGAAUACGGAGGGGGCAAGCGUUACUCGGAAUCACUGGGCGGAAAGAGCGCGUCGGCGGGAUAGCAAGUAAGAUGUGAAAGCCUAUGGCUUAACCAUAGAACUGCAUUUGAAACUGUUAUUCUAGAGUAUGGGAGAGGUAGGUGGAAUUCUUUGUGUAGUGGUCAAAUCCGUAGAGAUCAAGAGGAAUACUCAUUGCGAAGGCGACCUGCUAGUCCAUAACUGACGCUGAUGCGCGAAAGCGUGGGGAGCAAACAGGAUUAGAUACCCCAGUAGUC